rnacentral:lncRNA from 1 species
AGAUAGAUCUCGACAAAAUUACUAAACUAAAUUCAUAACACAAAAAUACAUUAUGCAAGCAAGAAUCCAUAGUUCUAUUUCUUUUUUUAGAUACGUUACCUGAUUCAUUCGUAGGAUAUACGAUCACAUAGUGAUUUUUAUUUUUGUUUGAUCAUAUUUAAAUGUUUGAAUUAAUUACAAGUUUCAAAUCUGAUACAGAAAAAUAAAUCAUUGUUAUCCAGGAUUCAUGGGAAAAAAGAGCUGUGCCAGUACCUAGAUUAUGCAAGCAAGAAUCCAUAGUUCUAUUUCUUUUUUUAGAUACGUUACCUGAUUCAUUCGUAGGAUAUACGAUCACAAAGUGAUUUUUAUUUUUGUUUGAUCAUAUUUAAAUGUUUGAAUUAAUUACGAGUUUCAAAUCUGAUACAGAAAAAUAAAUCAUUGUUAUCCAGGAUUCAUGGGAAAAAAGAGCUGUGCCAGUACCUAGCUGGACUCUGGUUGGAUAAAAAAACAAACUAAAAAAGAAAAUCUAAAAUUAUGGAUUUAGAUUAUCUAUUUAGUAUAUAUAGAAUGAAUAUAUAUUUGAAUCUAUAUUUAUGAGUUAAUAUAGAAUUAUGAAUAGUAAUGAAAUAAAAUUAUAAUCAAAUAGAAAAAAAAAAAAGAUAGAUAAGUUAUAUCAAAUGAAGAUCAAUAUCAAAUAAGAUAUAUAGAAGGCUUUUUUCGAGCCCUACUUUUUGUUCUUUUUGUUUAUGCGAGGUAUCAUAAGCAUAAUCAUUCCAUUUUUUGAAUUGGGGAGAGAAAUCAAUAUCAAAUAAGAUAUAUAGAAGGCUUUUUUCGAGCCCUACUUUUUGUUCUUUUUGUUUAUGCGAGGUAUCAUAAGCAUAAUCAUUCCAUUUUUUGAAUUGGGGAGAGAUGGCUGAGUGGACUGAAGCGUCGGAUUGCUAAUCCGUUGUACGCAUUUUUGUACCGAGGGUUCGAAUCCCUCUCUUUCCGUUUAUUGAUGAUUUGGCAUUUUUUUCUUUUGAACUUAUGGAAUUUCUUUUUUUUUUUUAUUAUUAUUUCCUGUUUCUUUCAUUUUUAACUAGUUCUUUUUGAAAAAUAGAUAGAAAAACGAAAAAUAUUUCAAAAUCCAGGACAAGUAAGGAAAAGAAAAAAGAUUUUCUUAUUCUUCACGUCCAGGAUUACGUCCAGGAUCAUUAGAUAGGAAUCCGAAGAUGAAAAGAGAAACAAAGAAUAUCACUAUCGUGUAAACAAAUAGUUUUAGAGUAAGCAUUACAAAAUCUCCAAGAUAAUUAAAAAAAACGACAGAGAAAAGAAUAAGAUUCUCUCCUAUUUCAUAUUAUGUUUCCUUGAGACUCAGUUUAUAAGAAAUGAAGUUAUUUCAAAAAAACUUAAGAAAUUGGUUUGUAGUAAGAGUUGAGAUCCUUUUUUACCAUUACCAAAAAUUGUAUUUCAUAUCUACAAUCAAGAUCCACGUAUUGGUGGUAGACUCAAAUCGAAUAAUAGAAUUUUUAUUUUUUAAUGGAAAAAAAGGAAAUGAUGAGAUGAUCUAUAUUUUUAUUGUCUAUCCAAAAAUUGCAAGAUUUGUAAUCACGGAUUCACACUGUAAGACUUAUCUGAUCUUUAAAAAUAUUCAAAUUUGAGUUUUCUAAUAAAUUCUGACUUUUUUUAGGACAUUAUACAAAUUAAAUAUCUUAUCGAAAACUUACAGCAGCUUGCCAAACAAAAGCUAAGAGAAAAAAGAGUAAGGGUAUUACUGGCAUAAAAUCUACAAUUGGAUUCAAAAAAGCAUAAGCUUCAGGUAAUUUCCCAAGAAAAAACUACUUGAAUAAAGGGCAGAGUUAAUACAAAUACAGACCAAGCUAAAGAUAUUAAGCAUAACAAAAAUGUUGUUCUUUAAGAAAAUGAAUUGUAUUUUUAUUUUUUUUAUUAAAUCUGAUCUUUAAAAAUAUUCAAAUUUGAGUUUUCUAAUAAAUUCUGACUUUUUUUAGGACAUUAUUCAAAUUAAAUAUCUUAUCGAAAACUUACAGCAGCUUGCCAAACAAAAGCUAAGAGAAAAAGAGUAAGGGUAUUACUGGCAUAAAAUCUACAAUUGGAUUCAAAAAAGCAUAAGCUUCAGGUAAUUUCCCCAAGAAAAAACUACUUGAAUAAAGGGCAGAGUUAAUACAAAUACAGACCAAGCUAAUGAUAUUAAGCAUAACAAAAAUGUUGUUCUUUAAGAAAAUGAAUUGUAUUUUUAUUUUUUUUAUUAUCUUCUUAUUAUAUAUAUUAUUAUAUAUAUGAUAUGAUUUAUUAUAUAUAUAUAAUUUAUUAUUAUCCGCUUUUUUUGUAUUAUACUUUUAUAUUCACAAUGAAAUAUAAAAGUAUAAUACAAAAAAUAAAGGUUUAUUUUAUUUUCUAUUUAUAUUACAAUAGAUAAUAUAUAGAAUAGAAAAUGGGGCGUGGCCAUACUUUUAUAUUCACAAUGAAAUAUAAAAGUAUAAUACAAAAAAUAAAGGUUUAUUUUAUUUUCUAUUUAUAUUACAAUAGAUAAUAUAUAGAAUAGAAAAUGGGGCGUGGCCAAGCGGUAAGGCGGCAGGUUUUGGUCCCGUGAUUCGGAGGUUCGAAUCCUUCCGUCCCAGGUGAAACCGAUUGAUGAUAUCACCAGUUUUCUUCAUGAAGGCAUAAAAAGGCUUCUUAUACGUUUCUAGGGGAGGGGAUAUAUUAUUCAUCUAAAGUUGCUCAACCUACAUAUUAGGAAAAAGUCAAUAAAUAAAGUUUAUCGAUAAAUACCGUAGACCCUAUAAGCUUUUUUACUUAUUUUCAAUUAGUAUAUUUAGAAAAUAUACUAAUUGGAAAUCGAACAAUGAUUAUGAUUAUGCUAUUCUAUUCAUCUAUAAUAUUUUCAUUCAUCUAUCAUAUUUUCAUGUAAAUGGAGGAAAAAAAGAAAAAUCUAUGCAAAGAAAGUGGUUCAAUUCAAUGAUCUAUUCAUCUAAAGUUGCUCAACCUACAUAUUAGGAAAAAGUCAAUAAAUAAAGUUUAUCCAUAAAUACCGUAGACCCUAUGAGCUUUUUUACUUAUUUUCAAUUAGUAUAUUUAGAAAAUAUACUAAUUGAAAAUCGAAUUUGAUAACUAUUCUAAAAAAAAAAUUAUCAUCCAAUGACUAUUCUAUUCAUCUAUAAUAUUUUCAUUCAUCUAUAAUAUUUUCAUUUAUCUAUAAUAUUUUCAUGUAAAUGGAGGAAAAAAAGAAAGAUCUAUGCAAAAAAAGUGGUUCAAUUCAAUGAUCUUUAACAGGGGUUUAGAAUACAGGUGUGGUUUAAGUAAAUCAAUAGAUAGUUUUGGUCCUAUUGGAAAUAACGUAAAUGAAGACCCAUCUAGUUUAACUGAUAUGGAUAAUAACAUUGAUAACUGGAAGAACAAUAGUGAAAAUUCUUGUUAUAGUCAUGCUGAUUCUUUAGCAGAUGUCACGAACAUAGAUAAUUUACUAUCUCAUAAAAAAAAUUCAAUUAGGGACAGUAAUAGCAACAUAUAUGACAUAUAUUAUGCUUAUGAUACUAAUGAUACUAUUGAAUUGGAUUCGGAAGAAGAAUCUUUGAAAGAUCGUCUGGAUGAAGACAUGCUUUCUCCGGAUCCCAUUGAAUUGGAUUCGGAAGAAGAAUCUUCAAAAGAUCGUGUGGAUUCGGAAGAGGAAGAAGAGGAAAAAGACCAAUCUUAUAUCGACCGUCUUGAUUCUUAUCAAGAAAAGACAGGAUUACCGGAGACGGUUCAAACAGGCACAGAUCAACGUGAGGAAAUCAAUCGGUUGUUCAAAGAUAUUAUGAAUAAACUUGACUUGUAUUUGCAAACUGCGAAAAAUCGUGUGGAUUCGGAAGAGGAAGAAGAGGAAAAAGACCAAUCUUAUAUCAAUCGUCUUGAUUCUUAUCAAGAAAAGACAGGAUUACCGGCGGCGGUUCAAACAGGCACAGGUCAACUAAAUGGUAUUCCUUUAGCACUAGUUGUUAUGGAUUCUGAGUUUAUAGCGGGUAGUAUGGGAUACGUAGUGGGUGAGAAAAUCACUCGGUUGAUCGAAUAUGCUACCAAUCUACUUUUACCUCUUAUUAUAGUAUGUGCGUCCGGAGGAGCGCGUAUGCAAGAAGGAAGUUUGAGCUUAAUGCAAAUGGCUAAAAUUUCUUCUGCCUUAUAUAAUUAUCAAAUCAAUCAAAAGUUAUUCUAUGUAGCGAUACUUACAUCUCCGUCUACUAGUGGGGUAACAUCUAGUUUUGGGAUGUUGGGGGAUAUCAUUAUUGUCGAACCUAAUGCAACCAUUGCAUUUGCGGGUAAAAGAGUAAUUGAACAAUUGUUGAAUAAGGAAGUGCCUGAAGGUUCCCAAUCGGCUGACCUUUUAUUCGACAAGGGCUUAUUGGAUGCAGUCGUACCACGUCAUCUUUUAAAGGAGUUUUUAACUGAGUUAUUUCAGUUCCAUGGUUUCGCUCCUUUGACUUAAAAUUGGACUAAAAAUGAAAACUAAUGCAGACAUUUUAUUUAUGUUUUUCAAAUUUGAUGACGAGAUCCAAUCCGAGUAGAUAAGAGGCUAUGGCUAUGAUACAAAAAUAAAAUUAGAACACACAAGAGUAAAGUAAAAGAUAAGAAUAAAAAUAAUAGGUAUAAAUAAAAUAUGAAAUUGAGGUAUCCCAUUUUAUGAUAAACUUACCAUCCCUUUUUGUUCCUUUAGUAGAGCCUGCAUUUCCCGGCAGUUGCAAUGGCUUCUUUAUUUCUUCAUGUUGAGAAAAGACUUUUUAUUUUCCACACAAAAAAUCACUAAAUAAUAUAUGAAAAAGAUAACUCAGAAUAUUCGAAGGAUUACUAUAUAUAUAAUAUAUAUAGUAGUCCAAUUUUUGUACGAUGGGACUGUAGAGGGUAUUAUAGUAACUGUUUUAUCGCUUGUUUUUGCUAGAAAAUUAUUUUGUUGGGCAGAAGGUCAUCCUGCAUAUCGUUUAGGAGACUCAUGGAUUGCCUUUGUAGCAGGGUCUCAAAACAGUUUCACUAUUUUGUGUUGUUCUUUCAAAUUUUUACAUUCAUUUGGGAGGAAGUUUUUCGCUUACAUUCAGAUGAAGUUGUCCAGUGUGCCACGAGAAGAAAGGGUCAGGCUACUUUUUUAUGCAAUUGUAAAGAUCUUUCUAACAUUAUAUCGAAUGAGAUUUAGUUGUCGUUCCGGCUUUUCUGGAAGAGAUCGUUGUAUUAUUCCCAGAGUUCCUAUGAACACUAGUCAGUGCCUCAUACAAAAAACUAACCCAGAUAGUAAUGAUGUCCUUUCUAUGAAAACCAGAGAAAGAGAAAAGGGGACCAUUCCCUUGAGUUCUGUUUAUGCUAGUCCUCCAUGCAACCGUCUAAAAAAAAGUGUGGAGUUACCCAGAUUAUUGAGUGGGCGAAUAGAAAAUGUUCCACCAAAGGACGAAUAAACAAGCGAGAAUAGUCUAUAAUAUAUCAAUUUAUAUGAAAAAAUUAAAAAUUGAUAUAUUAUAAGCUAAGCUGCUCUAUUACUUGUAUUUACUUGUAAUAGAACUUAUGGAUUAUUAUUAUAUAUACAGUUGAAAAAUAAGAUGAAACUGAGGACGAAAAAUGG